rnacentral:rRNA from 1 species
GACGUUACCUACAGAAGAAGCACCGGCUAACUCCGUGCCAGCAGCCGCGGUAAUACGGAGGGUGCGAGCGUUAAUCGGAAUUACUGGGCGUAAAGCGCAUGCAGGCGGCCUGUUAAGUCAAGAUGUGAAAGCCCGGGGCUUAACCUCGGAAUUGCAUUUGAAACUUGGCAGGCUAGAAGUCUUGUAGAGGGGGGUAGGAAUUUCAGGUGUAGCGGUGAAAUGCGUAGAGAUCUGAAGGAAUACCAGUGGCGAAGGCGGCCCCCUGGACAAAGACUGACGCUCAGAUGCGAAAGCGUGGGGAGCAAACAGGAUUAGAUACCCUGGUAG